UUUCUCUUUCCCCUCUUCUCUCACUUCCUUUCUCUCAUUUUUCUCCCCCGUCUGGGCAAGCCGGCCAACGGGGCAAGGCGGGAGGAGGUCGGGCGACCGGCGACGGGCGACGCGGCGGCGGCAGCAGCGUCGACGGCGACAACGUGGGAGCAGGAGGGUUGCCCCCCACGCCGUCGGCCUCCGUCGCCUCUCCACCAGCUGCCAUGGAUAACGACGGCGGCCUCCUUGCUCUCCCCGUCGCCGUUGUCCGAGGAAACUAAUGUCACACUCAGUGGCGUAAUCCCUGACCAACUCCACUAUCGCCACCUCUUUCGCCAGAGAAAGGUGGAGGCAUUCAGGGCAGCGAGGCAGCCGCGGACAUUACUCAGAGCGGUGCCGGCGGCGCUGCAACUGGAGGAGUAAGCUGCGGCGGCGGCCGCUAGGCGGACGGAGUGGUCAGAUACCGAGACCUCGAGCUCCGCGUAACGCCCGCGGAUCUCGGCCUCGACGUUGGCGGCCACGGCGAGGUCGGCUUGCGAGCAGAAGCGGGAGUCAAGGAAACGGCGGAGCUCCGGGGUGAUGUCCGCGGGUCGCGAGAGCUGACGGAGGCCAGCGACGUGGGAGGACUGGCGCGGGAGGAUGAGGCGGAGGCGGACGGCGCCGACGGGGAACGCGAUGGGGAGAGCGAGGAAGCUGCCGUCGUCAUCCAGGCCGCGAUCUGGCGCCCGCGCCGUUGGCGGCAGCAGUGGCGGCGGCGUGGGGGGCGUCCCUCCUGCUCUCACGUCAUUGCCGCCGCCGCGUCGCCCGUCGUUGGUCGCCGGCCACCCGACCUCCUCCUCUCCCGCCUCGCCCGCCGGUCGGCUUGCCCAUACGGAGGAGAAAAAUGAGAGAGAGGAAGGCAGAGAAGAGGGGAAAGAGAAAUAGUGAUGACGUGGUCACCCAGACAGGUGGGUCCUAUGCUGACUCAGCUGUCACGUUGGAGAAAACCGGGCACAAAACCACCAAGGAAACUAAUAUGAACGGUUUUGCAAGUUGAAUGAUGUUCUAUAUCUGGUUUUGUGGUUAAGGGACGAUUUUGUAACCCGAUGACAAGUUAAGGGACCUUCGGUGUACUUUUUCCGCCGUUUGGUUAUUGUUUCUCAAAGGAAUAAGUUACUUUACGUACG